CCUACGGGUGGCAGCAGUGAGGAAUAUUGGUCAAUGGACGCGAGCCUGAACCAGCCAAGUCGCGUGAAGGAUGACUGCCCUAUGGGUUGUAAACUUCUUUUAUCUGGGAACAAAACACGCCACGCAUACCGUUCCAUAAGUACCCUAAGAAUAAGCAUCGGCUAACUCCGUGCCAGCAGCCGCGGUAAUACGGAGGAUCCGAGCGUUAUCCGGAUUUAUUGGGUUUAAAGGGGGCGCAGGCGGAAUGUUAAGUCAGUGGUUAAAUUUGGGGGGUCAACCUUAUAGAAGCCGUUGAAACUGGCAGUCUUGAGUAAGUGAGAGGUAGGCGGAAUUCGUGGUGUAGCGGUGAAAUGCAUAGAUAUCACGAAGAACUCCGAUUGCGAAGGCAGCACACCGGAGUGCAACUGACACUGAUGCUCGAAAGUGUGGGUAUCGAACAGGAUUAGAUACCCGGGUAGUC
rnacentral:rRNA from 1 species